ensembl:lncRNA
AGAUUAGAGUAGUUUAUUUAAUGCCUAUGAGCCAAUAUAUAUGGUAUAAGUUAUAUAAAAUGUAUAUAUAAAUGAAUAGGCCUAUACACAGAAUUAUUAUAAUUAUUUUAUUUUUUUGAAAAAUGUGUAAUUAGAGAAUAUUUUACAACACCACUAGAUUUCUCUCUUCAGCAGGUUGAAUUAUGUCAUUCUGAAAAUUGCUUUUAAUUAAGUGAUGAUUGAGGAGUUGAUCAUUGUAUGUAACUAAGAAGGCAAGAGUGCUACAAGAAUAUGAUUUCGGAUGAAGAUGAUAAUAUUGCUGGUGGUGUUGAAAUUAAUACAGGGAGAAUUUGCGAGAAUCCCAAAAUGUUCAAACACAGUAAAUGAACAUUUAAACAAAUAUAAACUGCAUCAAUAUUGCCAAUCAAAUAUUUUUAUUUCCAACAAACAGCAUCACAACACAAAACCAUUUCAGACAACACUACUUGCAUGAAAUAAUCUAAAAUAAUCUAAAAAAACAGAGCCGAUAAUCAGGAGUUGCCAUUACCGACAUCACUAGGCCAAUGCAAUGGGGAAAUACCGCCGUCUAGCGGCCACAACCGGACUUCAGUAACAUGCAACUUUUUUCUUUGAUUUUCGUUGAUGUCUGCUGACUGAAUGCACGACGCAGUAGCUGGUUGAAAGGGACCAAACCUCACAGAAACACCUGACUUGGUUCCGUUUGACCAGCCACAGCAAGGCGUGUAGCUUCAGCUGCCAGAGGGAGAUCCACAGAACAGAGAGAGAGAGAGAGAGAGAGAGAGAGAGAGAGAGAGAGAGAGAGAGAGAGAGAGAGAGAGAGAAGGACUACGAGAGGCAGGAAGAAAGAGUGAGACGUUUGGAAAUCAGAAAGCGAGAGUGAGAGGCUCUGACAUAUGAGAGGGAAUGUGAGAAGGACAGGGGAUGGGAAUGACAGGAAAGAGAAAGAGAGCGCUGAAGAAGAACGAUUGCGAGGACGGUAGACGUCGUCACCGCAGAACGGCCGUGACGUCAUCGCGUUCUUGAGCCUUACCUGAGACAAGAGAGAGAGGGAGCUACAGGUCAGUAUAAAGUUCAAAACCAAAACCAAACGUUUGACCGCAAAUUACGAGAUUUUCUUUUCAGGAACAACAAAAUCUCAUCUUUUGCUUUUAGCAUUCGCCUUCUAGCGGUAUUAUUACUGCAAAGCUCCAAAGUAUGCCUCUCAACUGACCAAUUGUGAGUCCUCUAGCCUGGCUAACAUUAGCCCCAAUGACAGAACAACCCCCCCCCCCCACCCUUCACUUUUUUUUAAAGUGCACGGGUGCUAUAAUGGGUGACAGCUGUGCCCAGUCAAUCUCUCCCAACUGUCAGCAGUUGGGGAGGAUGGGGGAAGAAAUUCUUUCCUAGAAGGGAAGGGGUGCACAUGCUAACUGUUGCUAGCGCAUGGUAAAAGGGAGGGAGAAUCCAAGAGCCCUUCACCUGUUGUCUCAAUGGAAGGGCUGUGCACGCACACACACACCCACACCCACCCACACACACACACACACACACACACACACACACACACACACACACACACACACACACACACACACACACACACACACACACACACACACACACACACACACACACACACACACACACACACACAUACACCCACCCCCACACACACACACACACACACACAGGCACACACAAAAGCAGACAAAACACGCUACACACACAAACACACACACACAGGCACGCACGCACACAUUGGCAAGCACACACACACACGCACACAAACAGGAACACAUAAGCACAUGGGCACGCGCACACACACUUUCAGAUGGGGAUUGAGACAAGCUCAUUUGAAAACAUUUACAAAAAAAACACAAUUAAUCGAAACAUUUAACAAUCAUCAUCAAUCAAUCCAGAAUAAAAAAAUCACUCACUGGAAUAAAUCAUGCCAGGGGUCAAAGUAACACAGGUCCACUACACCCACACAAAUAAACACAGUUAGCCGCCCUAACACAGAACAGGGCAGGAUGGGGAGUACUUUCUCUUGUCUUCUUCCGGUGUUGCCGCGAUGAUCCUGACCCCUUGAGACCACACACUUCCUUACAUUCCAUAACUGGCGUAUUCAUAUGGGCAUAUAAGGAAGCAUGUCCUCACAAGGAGCAACAACUGGUCCUCCUGAUGUGACACACACUCGCACAGAGGCGCCUUUCACAGGCCGCACGGCGGGAAUGAGCUGCCGCGGAGCAACAAUGGAGAGCUGUGACUGGGAGACGCACUGGGAGACGCACUGGGAGAGGAGACGGCGAGCUACUGGGACAGAUGCAGGCAGGCGCUAUGCUGCUGAGGUGUGAUUGGGUCGUUCGUUGAGUGUUAGAUUUCGUUUUGGGGGUUCGGGUGACAGGAGGAUUUUUGAGGUCACAAAUCCUCGGCCGUCCAAUGGGAUGAGAUGGGGUGACAGGUUCAGGCUUUAGCGUGGCAGUACUCUUUUAGGGUUAAUCGUAUGAUUGGGUUUGAAACAAAGGACUGUGUUGAGCCUGAACAGAGCUGAUGUACUGACCACAUUGAUGGAGGUUUACUCCUGAAACAACACAAACACACACACAUACACACACGCACACAUACACAUACACACACGCACACAUACACAUACAGACAUGCAGAUAUACACACAGAACACACACUGACACACAGACACACACAGAACCCACACUCAUACAGCACACAAACAUACACACACACACACACACACACACACACACACACACACACACACACAGAAGAAACAAACGCACGCGCAUCAUGUCAGAGCAACCUUAACGGAAUGGACGGAUUCGCGUUGGACGGAAGGAUGAAUAAAUAAACCUCAGAAACGUUCAUGAAGUCAUGAUAAGCAGAGUACACACUGAUACAACAUCCAGUCACACUAUAAAGUCACACACACACACACACACACACACACACACAUUGUACUCACCUUGCAGUGCAUGGAGAGGACGUCUUGGAGGUCAGUGCCGGUUUAGCCAACGCCGCUGACUAGCUGAACUGUUGCUAAGCUAAAGCCCUACAUGCUAACUACUAGCCUUCUCAGCCACCAUGUGGUCAACGCCCCCACUAUGUGGGGGUUCACAGCUACACAGCCCUAUGAGGGACACUGCUACCCACCCUAACCUCACUGGGCAGACACCCCCCUGCCAUUUGACCCAAGGUGUUGCGUGAUAGUGUGUGUGUGUGUGUGUGUGUGUGUGUGUGUGUGUGUGUGUCUGUGUGUGUGCGUUUGUGUCCAACAACUGUUUUUCUUACGCCUGCCGCUUAGCACUACUCGACAACACGUGAGGAGAAUCAAACACAACAAUGACGCAUGAGGACCACCAUGUACACGCAAACCGGUACCUCCACACGUCGAACCCCCCCCUGGCGGCCUCGCCGGCCAACGACGACGCCAACACCAGACCACUUACCUCCCAGGCUUUUAAAAAGUUAUCAUGGAAAGACUACCGCCGACGCAGAGGCUCUGGACACUCUGUCCCACACACAGCAGACCACCACGCCACCGGCUGCUCCACCACCACCACCGCCGCCGCCACCACCGGCCCCCAACUCAAACCACUCCAACUCCUCCAGACCUACCCUAACUCCCCUCUCCCUCUCUCUCUCCCUGGCUCUCCCUCGCUCUCCGGCUGCGUCACCGACCCGUGGCCCCCGCUCCUCCUGUGUGUCAGUCGGCC